rnacentral:lncRNA from 1 species
GCCGCGUGAUGUUAUUAAGGAAAUACCUUACAGGAACCAGAGGGUGUGGAACCAGAUUGCUUUUAACCUUUCCAGUUUCCAUGGAGCUCUGCCCAUGGACAUGGAUGAUGAAAUGUAAUAUUUGCAUGGAUAAAACCUUGCCGGAAGUAAGUGUUGAUAUGUGGGGAUAAUCAGCAGCCAGCUUCUAAGGGCAGAGAGUCAAGAAAAGGGGGAUUGGAGAACCCUGCCAAAAGAUAAAACUUGGGCAGGGUUGGCACAUAGUAGUUUUGUGACGAGGGAGGAAGGUACCAGAGCUUGUCAAUGUCAAGAGCAAUAAGACAGAGGCAACAAUAGUUCUGUGCUUAAUCAGUAAGUAACCUUGAUUUCUUUUUGCUGGUGUAAGUGUGAAUCUGCUGUUUCAUGUAUCAUAAGAUGGUAUUUAUUUAUCUUGGUCUUUGUUCUUACUAAAUCUUUUUUGUGUAUCAAAUACAGUGCUUACUGUUUUGUCCUGUGUUUAGACGGUAGCAGGGGUAUAAAUGGUCGAUAGUGUCAGUAGCUAAAUAGGAAUGAGGCAGAUUUACAUGUGUAUCCGGAUCUAUUGGUUUAUUCGAUUACCAUCACAACUUUGGAGUGGAGUUCCCGUACUGUUUUGAUAGAAAGCCUGGGUAUCUUUUUUUUUUCUGUGCAUGCAUUUCCUUGUCCUUUUAAAUACAGUAUGCAAUGCCCGUUAUGCUGAUUCGCUUCCGUGUUUGGUGUAAAAAGUCUAGUUGUGCUGUGUUAUCCUUGCGGGCGCGGGGGGCUCGUGAUGCGAAUGAGAUGCCGGAGCUUUUCCGGAUCGCGCCGUGUGUGGAUCGCCGGGCGGACACGCCGGCCAGAUUCUGCCGAAGUUGGCACGCCCCGGGCAGAAGCCGGAACCAGAAGGCCAGAAACACGCGUGAUCUGCACAGCUCGCGCGGUAGGAAACGACGCCUUUCCUGCCCGGGGGCGCAUGUGUGCGCUCCACGGCCCUUCGCGCGGCCGAUGGCUUUCGUCCCGUCCCUCCCCCUUUGCCCAUCCCACAUGGCUGUCGGAUUGGACGCUUGCUUCCCAGCCACACACACAUGCAGCCACGAUCGAUCGGUGCCAACCCAUCCCUCGCCUACAGCGACGGCACGCAGGGGCGCCGUACGCGCCCUCCCGCGUCCUCAUGGAUUCGCUCCGCCAGCCUUGAUCGGCCGCUUUACUUACGUACGGCAUCUAGUGGCGACCUGGCUGCUAGCCUGCUACUGGCACAGCAGGAGCAUGUGAGCGCCCCUCUUUCCAGCCAGUUGCUUGCCUCUCUCGCCCACGCUCACCGUUCGCUGUGCCCGUGUCGAUCGGCAGGCGGCGGCGGACGGUGCCCGAUCGCGCGCGCCUAACAGGAUGGACCACGCUGUUGCGUGUGUCCAUGAGCCGCACACUGGCGGUCGAUCGAUCGCGAGCAGCGCGUCACGGGUAGGGGUUAGGGGCUUGUGGCGUGUUGCUUUUCGGAGCAAAAGUGGCCAGCUUCUCUGUUCCGUUCGGGGAGCCGGUAAUGUGCAACGGAAGGAAGCCAACGUUCGGCCACACGCGACGGAAGCACCCCGUCACGGCGGGUGGAGCACACGUUCACGUCCGCGGCCCGCCGACUGAGAGGAUGAGCACUAGAUAUAAGUUCCGCUCGAUGGACAGUUUACUACAUAAUACUCCCUCCGUUUUUAUUUACUCCUCAUAUUAGUUUUGGUCAAAGUCAAACUUUAUAAAUUUUAACAAAGUUUGUAGACAAAAAUAUUAACAUAUACAAUAAGAAAUCAACACCAUUAGAUUCAUUAUCAAAUGUACUUCCGCAUAGUAUAAAUUUGUUAUGGUAAAUAUUUAUAUUUUUUUCUAUAAACUUGGUUAAACUUUAGGAAGUUUGACUCCAGUCAACUCUAAUAUGCGAAGUAAAUAAAAACGAAGGGAGUAAAACGAUCGAAUAGAAAAUAUCUGCAAUUUGAAACGGAGUCUCCUGCAGCUGGUUCUAUACAAUGUUUUACCUGGAUUAUCACUCAAUAAAUAUGUAAUCCUAAAAAAUACACUCCAAUUUGCAUGGUCAACUACUAUUUUCUAUGGUGUAGCGUGAAAGCGCAAAUCUUAGUGGCUCGCCCUAGGCUGCUCGCACGUCAACUGUAGCGUCAGCCACUCCACCCGUUAGAGCCUUUUCUACGCCAUGACAUGACCCCUACCACCACCAUGACCCCCCUUGACGUCGGCAGUGCGUAGAGAUGCUCCAGCUCAGUUACAUGUGAUCGAUUCUUCGGAUGACUGCAUGUGGGCCUGAAUGAUUGCACGAUCGAUCAGGUGGCCCAGGGAGAAGGAAGACACGUACGGUCCUCGCCGCUGCUAGCUACAGGGCAGACGGACGUAGCCGAUCGACCCCUCUCCGCCUCCGGACACGAUAAGAUAGCCUGGGUGGGUCACUGGGCGUGGCGAUCAGGGGCACGGGUGACCGGCCCUCGCCCGCAGCGGCAGGGCGGACGGACGAUUGAUGAAGACGUGUACGUACAUCAUCCGGGAGAGCCGGAAAGCCUCGAGGGAAACGUUGCGCCACAGCUGCCGGCCGGCUGAUCGCGAGCGGGGACGUGACCUGCUCUGCUUGAUGGACGAGACCGUGAGCGUGGUGUUGAGUGCGCGUUUCGCUUGGUGUCCGCGGCCGUGGGCGCCAACAGACCAAUCCAUCUUACAUCUUCGCACACGUUUCGUAGGAUGGAUGGCUGGGCGGCUGGCAUCAACAGUGCGCGCCGAUUGACUGGAAACACAACCAACUGAACCACAUCAGAAGACUAAACAAUUCUGACAUUCUCUUUAAAGUUCUGAAAGAAAAAAAAAUGAAAUCAUAGGCGCACACUUACAGUUCUUCUGGUAAGAUUUUUUAAGGGAAAUGCCAUCAUGGCGAUUUUAUAUUUCAAGUAAAAAUCUGAAGGCUCUGAUUUGCACACAAUAGUUUAAGAGACCUCCGAAUUCCUAGCCAACAAAUCUGCCGCCAUAUUAGCUUUCCUAGGACAACGAGAAAAAAUUAUAAAAAUAAAAUUACGAGCUAAGAAAGAGCAUCCUUCAUAGAUUGCUGCUGCCGGUCCAAACGAAUUUCCUCCGUUUUGCAUGAUUUCAAUGACUUCCAUGCAAUCGCCUUCUAUGCAUAUCUUGGUGCAUUCAAUUUCACUUGCGAGGAGAAGUCCAUCUCUCAAGCCUCGUGCUUCCGCCGUAGCCGCUUCUUCAACAAAAGAGAUGUUGCCGCAAGAUGCCGCCAUAAAAAAACCGGAGUGGUCUCGAAGUAUAGCACCUGUAGUGCCAGCAUCACUGUCCGGCGUCCACAUUCAGCUUGAUUGUGCCCUCUGGUGGUUUCUCCCAACCAUGUCUCCUAAUUCUGUUGUGCUUGAACUUUGCUCUUGAGUAAUUUUUUGCGAGUGCAGAUAUUGCUUGCGCCGAUAUGGUAGGCUCGUACAGUUGCUCGUCUUGUGUAUACCUGCGUCAUUCCCACCACAAGUACCACACAAGCAUGGCAAUAAGGUCAUUGCACUGAACAUCAUUAACCAACGCCUUAGUUGGAUUCUUGGACAAGAGGAGGUCAGCCAUCACCGAGCCACCCUCUCUUUCCAUCAUGCAUACCUCAUUCACCACUGCUGCCAUACCUAAUAAACGCCACACCUCCUGUACUCGAGGACAAAAGAAUAAAGCAUGCCGGAUGCUCUCAAAUCUGAACUGCAUAAGGGGCAUUGAGAACUCGGAAUUAUAUGUCUGUUCGCUAAGACUCCUUGACAUGGAAGAGCUCCAAGCAAAGUUUUCCACACAUGAAUUUUCACUUUUGAAGGCACACGUAGUUUCCAAAUGGUCCUCCAAAUUAGAAUAGUACUUGAGGCUCAUAUCGAAUUUGUCAUCCUCAACUUUCGUCCGUGUUGUUGUUCCCAUUCUUCAUGAUAGGCCGACCUCACUGUAAAAUUUCCGCUCAUCUUAAAAUGCCAAGAAACAAAAUCACCCAUCAUCCCUAGAGCCAAAGGGAUGUUGAGGAUACGUUGUGCAUCAAUUGGCCAAAACAGAUCAUUAAUUAACCGUUCAUUCCAAGCUCUAUUAUCCACAUCAUGAAUUUCCGAGUGGGGCUGCUUGGUACCCAAGAGUCCUCCCAUAUAUUUAUUUGAGACCCAUCUCCUACUCUUCAUAUAUGACCUCUCUUGAAGGGUCUGAAUACCACUCCAAAUGCUCUGCCAGGUGUAAGAGCUGCCCUUCUUUAAGCUGCACGUAAGGAGGUUGCUCUCUGAAAAAUAUUUUGCUCUUAAUAUUCUGGCACAUAACGAAUCUGGCUCACUCAAGAGCCUCCAACACUGCUUUGCGAGAAGGGCCAAAUUAAAACUUACCCACCACCCAUACACAUACCUACUAGUGGGCACACAUUUUUCCCAUACCCGUCAUCCGACAGGGUAAAUGGUUACCCGCGGGUAAAAAUACCCAUGUUUGCAUAACAUCAAUUUGACCGACACAUAAUCAUAAUGAACAACAUACAAUCAUAAUUUAUAAACAACAAUACAUAAUAACAUAAAUACAUACUUAUAAAUAACAACACAUGAUAAACACAACACAUUUUAUAAACAUCAAUUUUUUUAAAACAAUAACACAUCAAAACAUCGACACAUAGUCAUAAACAGUACUCCCUCCGUCCGAAAAUACUUGUCAUUAAAAUGGAUAAAAAGAGAUGUAUCUAGAACUAAAAUACGUCUAGAUACAUCCCCUUUUAUCCAUUUUGAUGACAAGUAUUUUCGGACGAAGGGAGUAGUACAUAGUCAUACAUUUUGCUCCAUCCGCAAAGAAAUAUAAGAGCGUUUAGAUCACUACUUUAGUGAUCUAAACGCUCUUAUAUUUCUUUACAGAGGGAGUAAGUCCCAAACUCACGAUAGAGGAUAGAAGUAAUUUUUCAUACUUGUUAGAUUUACUAAGGGUACAAGGGUAUGCGGGCAUGGGUUAUAUGAUUUCAUACCCGUACCCGCUCUACCCGCUCUACCCGAUGGGUUUGAGAUCUCCCUAUUUACAUACCCAUGGGUAACCCUUAUCCUAAUAGGGUUUUUCUCAUAGGGUACGUGGGUACUGGGUACCCAUUGUCAUCCCUAAAAUUGACUAAAUCACGAGUUAGGAUUAAUGUCACUCCCACCUCCUCUCAUGAUGACAAGUGACACAUUGCAUUUGUCAUACUUUUCGCAACCGUGGGUUUUGUGUUUUUCCUGUUCAUUCAUUUUUUCGAAACGUUCUAUUUCCUGAACCAUGCGUGAUGUAGACUCGACUAGAUGGCGAGUCGUUCGUCGGCCCGAACUUUCACGGUACUAGCAGCAACAAGAAAUUCCGAUCGAGCAAAGAUACAAGACCGUAAUAUCAAAAACUGGCGUCGAGUAGAUGAAUCAACUCCACGCGUAGCAGCGAAAAAAUCCGUCACGGAUCAGCAAAAGCAAACACGAUAUUUGGUGUCCCCCGACAUGGGACUUUUCUGACUUUUAUUCAACUCACGAUCUAAACAAAACUUCUCAAAUAAAACCCUCACCCUGUACACGGCCGUAGCCGGCCCCUUAUAUAGGCGCACACAACCGACUCUCUAGCUAGCUUAAACUGACUUGGACUCCUACUCUUAUCCCAACUAACAAAUUAACAAACUUAAUUAUCCGGCACCGUUGAUCACAUAGCAACCUAUGAAAAACUAGGACUCUUCUUUAUUAGACCAAAAGAAAUCAACGUGACAUAUCCUUAAAUAAACUAAAUCUUGAUUUUCAUGGUGCCUACCAUCACGUAUUGGCUUGGUGUUCUAAACCGUGGCUCAACCUUGUCUUGUACUGGUAUUUUAAUUACCAUGUCCCCUAUUCGUAACAUAUGCCCUGCGCUACCUGAAGCUUGCUCCGUCGUUAGCUUGACUGCCCUGCAAUCUUUUGGUCCAUUGUUCUACUGCAUAUCAAGCUCGCGAUUUAUAGUAACGACAGCACCAGUACACCGUUGAGCCGGAAACAUAGCAAUGGCACUAGUGGCCACAUCAUUCCCUCUCUCUUGGAAUGAAGCCGUCCUCGGUUUCAUGGUAAAUUUUGGGACUGAAUCAAUAGCAUCUUGCUUUAUAUCACUAGAAAACAUCGGUCGGAGCACACGCCGUCUUCCAACAUCCCAGAAAGAAUAAGUAUUGGAUCUUCCUUCAUGUGUAGCAUGAUGAUCAUAUUGCCAUGGUCUACCUAACAAUAAGUGGCACGCAUCCAUUGGCAAUACAUCGCAAAUCACUGUAUCUGUAUAGUCACCGACUGAAAAAUUGACACGCACCUUGUGAGUAACUUUUAAUUUGCCAGACUGAUAUAACCACUCGAUGCAGUGCGGCUGCGGGUGUUUCCACGCUCGCAAUUCUAAUGCGUCCACCAAUGCCUUGCUGACCGCAUUGGUGUAGCUUCCACCAUCUAUGAUUAGCUUGCAACUUGUGUUGUUGAUCAUGCACUGAGUUUGAAAAAUAUUCCAACGCUGUCCUUUAUCCUCAAUACGAUCGUCUUGCACUCGCUGCACCAUUAGUGAAGGAUAUGACUCAGCAGCUUCAAAACUCGCAACGACAUUUUCAGUAUCCUUAGACUUUUCACUAGAAGUGUCAGAAACUGCCUCUUCAUCACUAGCGGAUGCAUAGCCAUCUCUCGUGAGCAACACUCUUUUCUCAUUAGGACAUUCACGCUUCAUAUGUCCCCUUCCUCCACACUUGAAACACUCUAUGCCACUAGUGCGGCCGGUCGAUUGUGCACUAGAAUCAACCAUCGACAGUCCUGAUUUUGGAGCAUCCUUUUGCACGGAACCAUGAGAGCGAUUUGAUGAUGUCGCCCUGGAGCUAGGUCCGUCAUCCUCAUUCUUAUGCUGCGAGCGUCGCCAUGUGUUCAAAGUGGCACAGGAAACUGUGUUGACUUGGCGUCGCUUAAUCUGUUGUUCCGCACGCACAGCUUGGUGCACAAGAUCUUGUAUGUUGUAGUAGACCACCAUCUCAACACGAUCCUGCACCUCGAUAUUUAGCCCGUUAAAGAAACGUGCCAUGGUCGCCUCUGGAUCCUCCGUUGUCCCUGUACGUAUCAUAAGCAAUUCCAUCUCCUUGUAAUAUUCAUCCACACUCAUAUUACCUUGAGAGAGCCGCUGCAACUUGUUGUACAUAUCUCUUUUAUAGUGCUCAGGAACAAAACGUCGCCUCAUGAAUUCUUUCAUACCUCGCCAAGUCGUCGGGCGAUGUCUUGAACGACAAAUUUGAUUCCACCAAAUUAGCGCGUAACCGGUGAACUCAAUUCCAGCAAGUUGAACUUUCUUCUCCUCACUAUAAUGAUGGGCAUCAAAAAUUUGAUCAACACGCAUCUCCCACUCCAAAUAGCCUUCUGGUUCGCACUUGCCGGAGAAAGAAGGGAUUGAAAUUUUUAUGCGCCCAAUUCCAUCGUCCAAAGGAACACGCACAGCUUGACCAACACGGUCAUGCGCUCCACCACGAGCGGAAGUUUCAGGACGAGGCUCAUAGUGUCGUGGUCGUGGAGCGUACCCCACUGCCUGGUCAACGCCGUCAUCAAGACCAUCAUCUCCAACAUGAGGUGCCGCCAAACGGCGAUCAUGCACGCCGGCAUGUCCGUCGUGAGCCGGUGGUGCAUAACGCAGUGGAGCAGCCGGAGCAGUCUGUGGUGGUGCAGAAUUCGUUGCCGGCAUAUUGAUGAUGUCUGCCAAACCAUCGAACCGAGUGAUCAGGACAUCUAUCCUUUUGCCGAGCGCAUCAUGACAUUGCUUGAUGUAGUUGCAUGUGUGGUCAAAACCAUCCCGAAUAUUUUGAGGAAUAUCAUCCGCGUACACUGGACGUACAAUUUCCUGAGAAUCAGCAGCAACCUCGUCUUCCUUGUUGACCGAGGUCGACAUCUUGAUCAACACAAUACCGUGAACAACCUUAGCUCUGAAUACCACUUGAUGUAGACUCGACUAGAUGGCGAGUCGUUCGUCGGCCCGAACUUUCACGGUACUAGCAGCAACAAGAAAUUCCGAUCGAGCAAAGAUACAAGACCGUAAUAUCAAAAACUGGCGUCGAGUAGAUGAAUCAACUCCACGCGUAGCAGCGAAAAAAUCCGUCACGGAUCAGCAAAAUCAAACACGAUAUUUGGUGUCCCCCGACAUGGGACUUUUCUGACUUUUAUUCAACUCAUGAUCUAAACAAAACUUCUCAAAUAAAACCCUCACCCUGUACACGGCCGUAGCCGGCCCCUUAUAUAGGCGCACACAACCGACUCUCUAGCUAGCUUAAACUGACUUGGACUCCUACUCUUAUCCCAACUAACAAAUUAACAAACUUAAUUAUCCGGCACCGUUGAUCACAUAGCAACCUAUGAAAAACUAGGACUCUUCUUUAUUAGACCAAAAGAAAUCAACGUGACAUAUCCUUAAAUAAACUAAAUCUUGAUUUUCAUGGUGCCUACCAUCACGUAUUGGCUUGGUGUUCUAAACCGUGGCUCAACCUUGUCUUGUACUGGUAUUUUAAUUACCAUGUCCCCUAUUCGUAACAUAUGCCCUGCGCUACCUGAAGCUUGCUCCGUCGUUAGCUUGACUGCCCUGCAAUCUUUUGGUCCAUUGUUCUGCUGCAUAUCAAGCUCGCGAUUUAUAGUAACGACAGCACCAGUACACCGUUGAGCCGGAAACAUAGCAAUGGCACUAGUGGCCACAUCAAUGCGUCCAAAUCACGAACAUUUUCACCGUUGCAUUUUUCGCGUUGAGAUAUUUGCAACUAGUGUUGGAAAUAUGCCCUAGAGACAAUAAUAAAUUAGUUAUUAUUAUAUUUCCUUGUUCAUGAUAAUCGUUUAUUAUCCAUGCUAGAAUUGUAUUGAUAGGAAACUCAGAUACAUAUGUGUAUACAUAGACAAUACCAUGUACCUAGUAAGCCUCUGUUUGACUAGCUCGUUGAUCAAUAGAUGGUUACGGUUUCCUGAACAUGGACAUUGGAUGCCGUUGAUAACGGGAUCACAUCAUUAGGAGAAUGAUGUGAUGGACAAGACCCAAUCCUAAAGCCUAGCACAAGAUCGUGUAGUUCGUUUGCUAAAGCUUUUCUAAUGUCAAGUAUCAUUUCCUUAGACCAUGAGAUUGUGCAACUCCCGGAUACCGUAGGAAUGCUUUGGGUGUACCAAACGUCACAACGUAACUGGGUGGCUAUAAAGGUGCACUGCGGGUAUCUCCGAAAGUGUCUGUUGGGUUGGCACGAAUCGAGACUGGGAUUUGUCACUCCGUGUAACGGAGAGGUAUCUCUGGGCCCAUUCGGCAGGACAUCAUCAUAAUGUGCAAAAUGUGACCAAGGAGUUCAUCACGGGAUGAUGUGUUAAUGGAACAAGUAAAGAGACUUGCCGGUAACGAGAUUGAACGAGGUAUCGGGAUACCCACGAUCGAAUCUCGGGCAAGUAUCGUACCGAUGGACAAAGGGAAUUGAAUACGUGAUUGAUUGAAUCCUCGACAUCAUGGUUCAUCCGACGAGAUCAUCAUGGAGCAUGUGGGAGCCAACAUGGGUAUCCAGAUCCCGCUGUUGGUUAUUGGCCGGAGAGUUGUCUCGGUCAUGUCUACAUGUCUCUCGAACCCGUAGGGUCUACACACUUAAGGUUCGGUGACGCUAGGGUUGUAGAGAUAUUAGUAUGCGGUAACCCGAAAGUUUUUCGGAGUCCCGGAUGAGAUCCCGGACGUCACGAGGAGUUCCGGAAUGGUCCGGAGGUGAAGAUUUAUAUAUAGGAAGUCCAGUUUAUGCCAUCGAGAAAGUUUCGGGAGUAAUCGGUAUUGUACCGGGACCACCGGAAGGGUCCCAGGGGUCCACCGGGUGGGGCCACCUAUCCCGGAUGGACCCAUGGGUUUAAGUGGGAGGGGAACCAGCCCCUGGUGGGCUGGUGCGCUCCCCAUGGGCCUCCCCCUGCGCCUAGGGUUGUAAACCCUAGGGGUGGGGGGCGCCCCACCUGACUUGGGGGGCAAGUCCCCCCCUUGGCCGCCGCCCCCCCUUGGAGAUUGGAUCUCCUAGGGCCGGCGCCCCCUAGGGGUCCUAUAUAUAGUGGGGGGAGGGAGGGUAGCUGCACCUGAGUCCCUGGCGCCUCCCUCUCCCUCCGUGACACCUCUCCCUAUUGUUGGUGCUUGGUGAAGCCCUGCCGAGAUCCCGCUGCUUCCACCACCACGCCGUCGUGCUGCUGGAUCUCCAUCAACCUCUCCUCUCCCCUUGCUGGAUCAAGAAGGAGGAGACGUCUCCGCUCCGUACGUGUGUUCAACGCGGAGGUGCCGUCCAUUCGGCGCUAGGAUCAUCGGUGAUUUGGAUCACGACGAGUAUGACUCCAUCAACCCCGUUCUCUUGAACGCUUCCGCUUAGCGAUCUUCAAGGGUAUGAAGAUGCACUCCCUCUCUCUCGUUGCUAGAUGACUCCAUAGAUUGAUCUUGGUGAUGCAUAGAAAAUUUUAAAUUUCUGCUAUGAUCCCCAACAGUGGCAUCAUGAGCUAGGUCUAUGCGUAGUUUCUAUGCACGAGUAGAACACAAAGUAGUUGUGGACGAUGAUUUGUUCAAUUUUCUUGCCGUUACUAGUCUUAUCUUGAUUCGACGACAUUGUGGGAUGAAGCGGCCCGGACCGACCUUACACGUACGCUUACGCGAGACUAGUUCCACCGACUGACAUGCACUUGAUGCAUAAGGUGGCUGGCGGGCGUGUGUCUCUCCUACUUUAGUCGGAUCGGAUUCGAUGAAAAGGGUCCUUAUGAAGGGUAAAUAGCAAUUGGCAUAUCACCAUUGUGGUUUUGCGUAGGUAAGAAACGUUCUUGCUAGAAACCCAUAGCAGCCACGUAAAACCUGCAACAACAAUUAGAUAACGUCUAACUUGUUUUUGCAGGGUUUGCUAUGUGAUGUGAUAUGGCUAAAAGGAUGUGAUGAAUGGUAUAUGUGAUGUAUGAGAUUGAUCAUGUUCUUGUAAUAGGAAUCACGACUUGCAUGUCGAUGAGUAUGACAACCGGCAGGAGCCAUAGGAGUUGUCUUAAUUUAUUUAUGACCUACGUGUCAAUGAAAAUGCCAUGUAAUUACUUUACUUUAUUGCUAACCGUUAGCCAUAGUAGUAGAAGUAAUAGUUGGCGAGAUCACUUCAUGAAGACACGAUGAUGGAGAUCAUGGUGUCAUGCCGGUGACGAUGGUGUUCAUGCCGCGCCUCGAAGAUGGAGAUCAAAGGCGCAAGAUGAUAUUGGCCAUAUCAUGUCACUUUACGAUUUGCAUGUGAUGUUUGUCAUGUUUACAUCUUAUUUGCUUAGAACGACGGUAGCAUAAAUAAGAUGAUCCCUCACUAAAAUUUCAAGAAAGUGUUCCCCCUAACUGUGCACCGUUGCUAAGGUCCAUUGUUCCUAAGCACCACGUGAUGAUCGGGUGUGAUAGGUUCUAACGUUCGCAUACAACGGGUGUAAGCCAGAUUUACACACGCAAUACAAUUAGGUUAACUUGACGAGCCUAGCAUGUACAGACAUGGCCUCGGAACAUAGAAGACCGAAAGGUCGAACAUGAGUCGUAUAGUGGAUACGAUCAACAUGAAGAUGUUCACCGAUGAUGACUAGUCCGUAUCACGUGAUGAUCGGACACGACCUAGUUGACUCGGAUCAUGUAUCACUUAGAUGACUAGAGGGAUGUCUAUCUAAGUGGGAGUUCAUUGAAUAAUUUGAUUAGAUGAACUUAAUUAUCAUGAACAUAGUCAAAAGGUCUUUGCAAAUUAUGUCUUAGCUCACGUUUUGGUUCUACUGUUUUAGAUAUGUUCCUAGAGAAAAUUAUGCGGACUGGGUCUGUGAACUGAGGAUUGUCCUCAUUGCUGCACAGAAGGGCUAUGUCCUUAAUGCACCACUCAGUGCGUUGAACCUCGAGCGUCGUCUGUAGAUGUUGGGAAACAUCUGACAUACACGUUUUGAUGACUACAUGAUAGUUCAGUGCAUAAUACUAACGGUUUAGAAUUGUGGCACCAAAGACGUUUUUGAAAUGUCACAGAACAUAUGAGAUGUUCCAAAGACUGAAAUUGAGAUUUCAGACUAGUGCCCAUGUCAAGAGGUAUGAGACCUUUGACAAGUUUCUUAAGCCUGCGAACUAAGGGAGAAAAGCUCAAUCGUUGAGCAUGUGCUUAGAUUGUCUGAGUACUACAAUCGCUUGAAUCGAGUGGGAGUUAAUCUUCCAGAUGAAAUAGUGAUGAUUCUCCAUAGUCACUGCCACCAAGCUAUUGGAGCUUCGUGAUGAACUAUAACAUAUCAGGGAUAGACAUGAUGAACCUUGAGCAACUCGCGAUGUUUGACACCGCGAAAGUAGAAAUCAAGUAGGAGCAUCAAUUGUUGAUGGUUAAACCACUAGUUUCAAGAAGGGCAAGGGAAAGAAUGGAUACUUCAUGAGACGACAAAUCAGUUGCUGCUCUAGUGAAGAAACCCAAGGUUGAACCAAACCCGAGACUAAGUGCUUCUAUAAUGAGGGAACGGUCAGUGAAGCAGAACUACCCUAGAUACUUGGUAGAUGAGAAGGCUGGCAAGGUCGAUAGAAGUAUUUUGGAUAUACGUUAUAUUAAUGUGUACUUUACUAGUACUCCUAGUAGCACCAUGGUAUUAAAAUACCGGUUCAGUUGCUAAGUGUUAGUAACUCGAAAUAAAAGGCUACGGAAUAAACGGAGACUAGCUGAAGGUGAGAUGACGAUAUAUGUUGGAAGUGUUUCCAAGGUUGAUAUGAUCAAGCAUCGCAUGCUCCCUCUACCAUCGAGAUUGGUGUUAAACCUAAAUAAUUGUUAUUUGGUGUUUGCGUUGAGCAUAGACAUGAUUGAAUUAUGUUUAUCGCCACACGGUUAUUCAUUUAAGGAGAAUAAUGGUUACUCUGUUUAUUUGAAUAAUACCUUCAAUGGUCUUGCACCUAAAAUGAAUGGUUUAUUGAAUCUCGAUCGUAGUGAUACACAUGUUCAUGCCAAAAGAUAUAUGAUAGUAAUGAUAGUACCACGUACUAGUGGCACUGCCAUUUGAGUCAUGUUGGUAUAAAACGCAUGAAGAAGCUCCAUGUUGAUGGAUCUUUGGACUCACUUGUUUUUGAAAAGAUUGAGACAUGCGAACCAUGUCUAUUGGUAGAUAUGCAUGAAGAAACUCCAUGCAGAUGGAUCGUUUGGACUCACUUGAUUUUGAAUCACUUAAGACAUGCAAAUCAUACCACAUGGGCAAGAUGACUGAAAGGCCUCGUUUUUAGUAAGAUGGAACAAGAAAGCAACUUGUUGGAAGUAAUACAUUUUGAUGUGUGCAGUCCAAUGAGUGCUGAGGCACGCAGUGGAUAUCAUUGUGUUCUUACUUCACAGAUGAUUUGAGUAGGUACUGAGUAUAUUUACUUGAUGAAACACAAGUCUGAAUUAUUGAAAGGUUUAAGUAAUUUCAGAGUGAAGUUGAGGAUCGUCAUGACAAGAUGAUAAAAUGUCUAUGAUAUGAUCAUAGAGAUGAAUAUCUGAGUUACGAGUUUGGCACACAAUUAAGACAUUGUGGAAAUUGUUUCACAACUAAUACCGCCUGGACCACCAUAGUGUGAUGGUGUGUCCGGAUAUCAUAACUGCACCCUAUUGGAUAUGGUGCAUACCAUGAUGUCUCUUAUCGAAUUACCACUAUCGUUUAUGGGUUAGGGAUUAGAGACAACCACAUUCACUUUAAAUAGGGCACCACACAAUUCCGUUGAGAUGACACCGUAUGAACUAUGGUUUAGAGAAAUCUAAGCUGUCGUUUCUUAAAAGUUUGGGGCUGCAGUGCUUAUGUGAGAAAGUUUCAGGCUGAUAAGCUCGAACCCAAAGCGGAUAAAUGCAUCUUCAUAGAAUACCCAAAAAUAGUUGGGUAUACCUCCUAUUUCAGAUCCGUAAGCAAAAGUGGCUGUUUCUAGAAACGGGUCCUUUCUCGAGGAAAAGUUUCUCUCGAAAGAAUUGAGUGGGAGGAUGGUGGAGACUUGAUGAGGUUAUUGAACCGUCACUUCAACUAGUGUGUAGCAGGGCACAGGAAGUUGUUCCUGUGGCACCUACACCAAUUGAAGUGAAAGCUUAUGAUAGUGAUCAUGAAACUUCGGAUCAAGUCACUACCAAACCUCAUAGGUCGAUAAGGAUGUGUACUACUUCAGAGUGGUACGUAAUCCUGUCUUGGAAGUCAUGUUGCUAGACAACAAUGAACCUACGAGCUAUGGAGAAGCGAUGGUGGGCCCGGAUUCCGACGAAUGGCUCGAGGCCAUAAAAUCCGAGAGAAGAUCCAUGUAUAAAACAAAGUAUAGACUUUGAAAGAAACACUUGAUGGUCGUAAGGCUGUUGGGUGCAGAUGGAUUUUAAAAGGAAGACAGACAAUGAUGGUAAGUGUCACCAUUAAGAAAGCUCGACUUGUCGUUAAGAUGUUUCCCGACAAGUUCAAGGAGUUGACUACGAUGAGAUUUUCUCACUCAUAGCGAUGCUAAGAGUCUGUUGGAAUUAUGUUAGCAGUUACUGCAUUGUUUAUGAAAUCUUGCAGAUAGGAUGUCAAAACGUUGUUUCCUCGAUAUUUUUCUUGAGGAAAGGUUGUAUGUGAUACAACCAGAAGGUUUUGUCAAUUCUGAAAGAUGCUGACAAGUAUGCAAAGCUCCAGCAAUCCUUCUAAGGACUGGAGUAAGCAUCUCGGAGUUGGAAUGUACGCUUUGAUGAGAUGAUCAAAGAUUUUGGGUUUAUACAAAGUUUAUGAGAAACUUGUAUUUCCAAAGAAGUGAGUGUUGGGGAACGUAGUAAUUUCAAAAAAAUUCCUACGCACACGCAAGAUCAUGGUGAUGCAUAGCAACGAGAGGGGAGAGUGUAAUCUACAUACCCUCGUAGACCGAUAGCGGAAGUGUUAUGACAACGCGGUUGAUGUAGUCAUACGUCUUCACGGCCCGACCGAUCAAGCACCGAAACUACGACACCUCUGAGUUCUAGCACACGUUUAGCUCGAUGACGACCCCCGGACUCUGAUCCAGCAAAGUGUCGGGGAAGAGUUCCAUCAACACGACGGCGUGGUGACGAUCUUGAUGUUCAACUGUCGCAGGGCUUCGCCUAAGCACCACUACAAUAUUAUCGAGGACUAUGGUGGAAGGGGGCACCGCACAUGGUUAAGAGAACGAUCUUACAGAUCAACUUGUGUGUCUAUGGGGUGCCCCCUGCCCUCGUAUAUAAAGGAGUGGAGGAGGGGAGGGCCGGCCCUCUCUAUGGCGUGCCCUAGGGGAGUCCUACUCCCACCGGGAGUAGGGUUCCCCUUUUCCUAGUCCAACUAGGAGUCCUUCCAUGUAGUAGGAGUAGGAGACAAGGAAGGGGAAGAGGGAAGAGAAGGAAGGAGGGGGCGCAGCCCCUCCCCCUAGUCCAAUUCGGACUAGGCCUUGGGGGGGCGCGCGGCCUGCCUCUCCCUCACCCCUAAAGCCCAAUAAGGCCCAUAUACUUCUUCCCCCGUAUUCCCGUAACUCCCCGGUACUCCAAAAAAUACCCGAACCACUCGGAACCUUUCCGAUGUCCGAAUAUAGUCGUCCAAUAUAUCGAUCUUUACGUCUCGACCAUUUCGAGACUCCUCGUCAUGUCCCCGAUCUCAUCCGGGACUCCGAACUCCUUCAUUACAUCAAAACUCAUAAACUCAUAAUAUAACUGUCAUCGAAACCUUAAGCGUGUGGACCCUACGGGUUCGAGAAUUAUGUAGACAUGACCAAGACACGUCUCCGGUCAAUAACCAAUAGCGGAACCUGGAUGCUCAUAUUGGCUCCCACAUAUUCUACGAAGAUCUUUAUCGGUCAGACCGCAUAACAAUAUACGCUGUUCCCUUUGUUAUCGGUAUGUUACUUGCCCGAGAUUCGAUCGUCGGUAUCUCAAUACCUAGUUCAAUCUCGUUACCGGCAAGUCUCUUUACUCGUUUCGUAAUACAUCAUCUCGCAACUAACUCAUUAGUUGCAAUGCUUGCAAGGCUUAUGUGAUGUGCAUUACUGAGAGGGCCCAAAGAUACCUCUCCGACAAUCGGAGUGACAAAUCCUAAUCUCGAAAUACGCUAACCCAACAUGUACCUUUGGAGAUACCUGUAGAGCUCCUUUAUAAUCACCCAGUUACGUUGUGACGUUUGGUAGCACACAAAGUGUUCCUCCGGCAAACGGGAGUUGCAUAAUCUCAUAGUCAUAGGAACAUGUAUAAGUCAUGAAGAAAGCAAUAGCAACAUACUAAACGAUCGGGUGCUAAGCUAAUUGAAUGGGCCAUGUCAAUCACAUCAUUCUUCUAAUGAUGUGAUCCCGUUAAUCAAAUAACAACUCUUUUAUUCAUAGUUAGGAAACAUAACCAUCUUCGAUUAACGAGCUAGUCAAGUAGAGGCAUACUAGUGACACUCUGUUUGUCUAUUUAUUCACACAUGUAUUAUGUUUCCGGUUAAUACAAUUCUAGCAUGAAUAAUAAACAUUUAUCAUGAUAUAAGGAAAUAAAUAAUAACUUUAUUAUUGCCUCUAGGGCAUAUUUCCUUCAGUCUCCCACUUGCACUAGAGUCAAUAAUCUAGUUCACAUCGCCAUGUGAUUCAACACUAAUAGUUCACAUCACCAUGUGAUUAACACCCAUAGUUCACAUUGUCAGGUGACCUAUACCCAAAGGGUUUACUAGAGUCAGUAAUCUAGUUCACAUCGUUUAUGUGAUUAACACCCAAAGAGUACUAAGGUGUGAUCAUGUUUUGCUUGCGAGAUAAUUUUAGUCAACGGGUCUGUCACAUACAGAUCCAUAAGUAUUUUGCGAAUUCUAUGUCUACAAUGCUCUGCACGGAGCUACUCUAGCUAAUUGCUCCCACUUUCAAUAUAUAUCUAGAUCGAGACUUAGAGUCAUCCAGAUCUGUGUCAAAACUUGCAUCGACGUAACUUUUUACGAUGAACCUUUUGUCACCUUCAUAAUUGAGAAAUAUUUCCUUAUUCCACUAAGGAUAAUUUUGACCGUUGUCCAGUGAUCUACUCUUAGAUCACUAUUGUACUCCCUUGCUUAACACAGUGUAGGGUAUACAAUAGAUUUGGUACACAGCAUGGCAUAUUUAUAGAACCUAUGGCUGAGGCAUAGGGAAUGACUUUCAUUUUCUUUCUAUCUUCUGCCGUGGUCGGGCUUUGAGUCUUACUCAAUUUCAUACCUUGUAACACAGCCAAGAACUCUUUCUUUGACUGUUCCAUUUUUGAACUACUUCAAAAUAUUGUCAAGGUAUGUACUUAUUGAAAAAACUUAUCAAACGUCUUGAUCUAUCUCUAUAGAUCUUGAUGCUUAAUAUGUAAGCAGCUUCACCGAGGUCUUUCUUUAAAAAACUUCUUUCAAAACACUCCUUUAUGCUUUGCAAAAUAAUUCUACAUUAUUUCCGAUCAACAAUAUGUCAUUCACAUAUACUUAUCAGAAAUGCUGUAGUGCUCCCACUCACUUUCUUGUAAAUACAGGCUUCACCGCAAGUCUGUAUAAAACUAUAUGCUUUGAUCAACAUAUCAAAGCGUAUAUUCCAACUCCGAGAUGCUUGCACCAGUCCAUAGAUGGAUCGCCGGAGCUUGCAUAUUUUGUUAGUACCUUUAGGAUCGACAAAACCUUCUGGUUGCAUCAUAUACAACUCUUCUCUAAUAAAUCCUAUUAAGGAAUGUAGUUUUGUUUAUCCAUUUGCCAGAUUUCAUAAAAUGCGGCAAUUGCUAAUAUGAUUCGGACAGACUUAAGCAUGGAUACGAGCGAGAAACUCUCAUCCUAGUCAACAUCUUAAACUUGUCGAAAACCUUUUUGCGACAAUUCUACCUUUGUAGAUAGUAACACUACUAUCAGCGUCCGUCUUUCUCUUGAAGAUCCAUUUAUUUUCAAUUGCUUACCGAUCAUCAGGCAAGUCAACAAAGUCCAUACUUUGUUUUUCAUACAUGGAUCCCAUCUCAGAUUUCAUGGCUUCAAGCCAUUUUGCGGAAUCUGGGCUCAUCACCGCUUCCUCAUAGUUCGUAGGCUCGUCAUGGUCAAGUAACAUGACCUCCAGAACAGGAUUACCGUACCACUCUGGUGCGGAUCUCACUCUGGUUUACCUACGAGGUUCGGUAGUAACUUGAUCUGAAGUUACAUGAUCAUCAUCAUUAGCUUCCUCACUAAUCGGUGUAGUAGUCACAGGAACAGAUUUCUGUGAUGAACUACUUUCCAAUAAGGGAGAAUGUACAAUUACCUUAUCAAGUUCUACUUUCCUCCCACUCACUUCUUUCAAGAGAAACUCCUUCUCUAGAAAGGAUUCAUUCUCAGCAAUGAAUAACUUGCCUUCGGAUCUGUGAUAGAAGGUGUACCCAACAUUUUCUUUUGGGUAUCCUAUGAAGAUUUACUUCUCCGAUUUGGGUUCGAGCUUAUCAAGUUGAAACUUUUUCACAUAAGCAUCGCAGUCCCAAACUUUAAGAAACGACAGCUUAGGUUUCUCGCCAAACCACAGUUCAUACGGUGUCAUCUCAACGGAUUUAGAUGGUGCCCUAUUUAACAUGAAUGUAGCUGUCUCUAAUGCAUAACCCCAAAACGAUAGUGGUAAUCGGUAAGAGACAUCAUAGAUCGCACCAUAUCUAAUAAAGCACGGUUUUGACGUUCGGACACACCAUUAUACCGUGGUGUUCCAGAUGGCGUGAGUAGUGAAACUAUUUCACAUUGUUUUAACUGAAGGCCAAACUCGUAACUCAAAUAUUUUAUUUCCACGAUCAUAUCGUAGAAACUUUUAUUUUUGUUACGAUGAUUCUCCACUUCACUCUGAAAUUCUUUGAACUUUUCAAAUAUUUCAAACUUGUGUUUCAUCAAGUAGAUAUACUCAUAUCUGCUCAAAUCAUCUGUGAAGAUCAGAAAAUAAUGAUACCUGUCGCGAGCCUCAAUAUUCAUCGGACCACAUACAUCAGUAUGUAUGAUUUCCAACAAAUCUGUUGCUCGCUCCAUUGUUCCGAAGAACGGAGUCUUAGUCAUCUUACCCAUGAGGCAUGGUUCGCAAGCAUCUAGUGAUUCCAAAAGCCCAUCAGCAUGGAGUUUCUUCAUGCGCUUUACACCAAUAUGACCUAAACGGCAGUGCCACAAAUAAGCUGCACUAUCAUUAUUAACUUUGCAUCUUUUGGUUUCAAUAUUAUGAUUAUGUGUAUCACUACGAUCGAGAUCCAAUGAACUAUUUUCAUUGGGUGUGUAACCAUAUAAGGUUUUAUUCAUGUAAACAGAACAACAAUUUAUUCUCUUACUUAAAUGAAUAAUCGUAUUACAUUAAACAUGAUCAAAUCAUAUUCAUGCUCAACGCAAACACCAAAUAAUAUUUAUUUAGGUUCAACACUAAUCCCGAAAGUAUAGUGAGUGCGCGAUGAUGAUCAUAUCAAUCUUGGAACCACUUCCAACACACAUCGUCACUUCACCCUUAACUAGUCUCUGUUUAUUCUGCAACUCCCGUUUCGAGUUACUAAUCUUAGCAACUGAACUAGUAUCAAAUACUGAGGGGUUGCUAUAAACACUAGUAAAGUACACAUCAAUAACAUAUAUAUCAAAUAUACUUAUGUUCACUUUGCCAUCCUUCUUAUCCGCCAAUCACUUGGGGUAGUUCCGCUUCCAGUAACCAGUCCCUUUGCAGUAUAAUCACUUAGUCUCAGGCUUAGGACCAGACUUGGGCUUCUUCACUUGAGCAGCAACUUGCUUGUCGUUCUUCUUGAAGUUCCCCUUCUUCCCUUUGCCCUUUUCUUGAAACUAGUGGUCUUGUCAACCAUCAACACUUGAUGCUCUUUCUUGAUUUCUACCUUCAUCGAUUUCAUCAUCAUGAAAAGCUCGGGAGUCAUUUUCGUCAUCCCUUGCAUACUAUAGUUCAUCACGUAGUUCUACUAACUUGGUGAUGGUGACUAGAGAAUUCUGUCAAUCACUAUCUUAUCUGGAAGAUUAACUCCCACUUGAUUCAAGCGAUUGUAGUACCCAGACAAUCUGAGCACAUGCUCACUAGUUGAGCGAUUCUCCUCCAUCUUUUAGCUAUAGAACUUGUUGGAAACUUCAUAUCUCUCAACUCGGGUAUUUGCUUGAAAUAUUAACUUCAACUCCUGGAACAUCUCAUAUGGUCCAUGACAUUCAAAACGUCUUUGAAGUCCCGAUUCUAAGCCGUUAAUCAUGGUACACUAAACUAUCAAGUAGUCAUCAUAUUGAGCUAGCCAAACGUUCAUAACGUCUGCAUCUGCUCCUGCAAUAGGUCUGUCACCUAGCGGUGCAUUAAGGACAUAAUUCUUCUAUGCAGCAAUGAGGAUAAACCUCAGAUCACGGAUCCAAUCCGCAUCAUUGCUACUAACAUCUUUCAACACAAUUUUCUCUAGGAACAUAUCAAAAUAAACAUAUAAAAGCAACAACGCGAGCUAUUGAUCUACAACAUAGAUAUGCUAAUACUACCAGGACUAAGUUCAUGAUAAAUUAAAGUUCAAUUAAUCAUAUUACUUAAGAACUCCCACUUAGAUAGACAUCCCUCUAAUCCUCUAAGUGAUCACGUGAUCCAAAUCAACUAAACCAUAACCGAUCAUCACGUGAAAUGCAGUAGUUUUCAAUGGUGAACAUCGCUAUGUUGAUCAUAUCUACUAUAUGAUUCACGCUCGACCUUUCGGUCUCAGUGUUCCGAGGCCAUAUCUGCAUAUGCUAGGCUCGUCAAGUUUAACCUGAGUAUUCUGCAUGUGCAAAACUGGCUUGCACCCGUUGUAGAUGGACGUAGAGCUUAUCACACCCGAUCAUCAUGUGGUGUCUGGGCACGAUGAACUUUGACAAUGGUGCAUACUCAGGGAGAACACUUUUAUCUUGAAAUUUAGUGAGAGAUCAUCUUAUAAUGCUACCGUCAAUCAAAGCAAGAUAAGAUGCAUAAAAGAUAAACAUCACAUGCAAUCAAUAUAAGUGAUAUGAUAUGGCCAUCAUCAUCUUGUGCUUGUGAUCUCCAUCUCCGAAGCAUCGUCAUGAUCACCAUCGUCACUGGCGCGACACCUUGAUCACCAUCAUAGCAUCGUUGUCGUCUCACCAAUCUUAUGCUUCCACGACUAUCGCUACCGCUUAGUGAUAAAGUAAAGCAUUACAACGCGAUUGCAUUGCAUACAAUAAAGCGACAACCAUAUGGCUCCUGCCAGUUGCCGAUAACUCGGUUACAAAAACAUGAUCAUCUCAUACAAUAAAAUUUAGCAUCAUGUCUUGACCAUAUCACAUCACAACAUGCCCUGCAAAAACAAGUUAGACGUACUCUACUUUGUUGUUGCAAGUUUUACGUGGCUGCUACGGGCUUAAGCAAGAACCAAUCUUACCUACGCAUCAAAACCACAACGAUAGUUUGUCAAGUUGGUGCUGUUUUAACCUUCGCAAGGACCGGGCGUAGCCACACUUGGUUCAACUAAAGUUGGAGAAACUGACACCCGCCAACCACCUGUGUGCAAAGCACGUCGGUAGAACCAGUCUCGCGUAAGCGUACGCGUAAUGUCGGUCCAGGCCGCUUCAUCCAACAAUACCGCCGAACCAAAGUAUGACAUGCUGGUAAGCAGUAUGACUUAUAUCGCCCACAACUCACUUGUGUUCUACUCGUGCACAACAUCAACACAUAAAACCUAGGCUCGGAUGCCACUGUUGGGGAACAUAGUAAUUUCAAAAAAAUUCCUACGCACACGCAAGAUCAUGGUGAUGCAUAGCAACGAGAGGGGAGAGUGUAAUCUACGUACCCUCGUAGACCGAUAGCGGAAGCGUUAUGACAACGCGGUUGAUGUAGUCGUACGUCUUCACAACCCGACCGAUCAAGCACCGAAACUACGGCACCUCCGAGUUCUAGCACACGUUCAGCUUGAUGACGAUCCCCGGACUCCGAUCCAGUAAAGUGUCAGGGAAGAGUUCUGUCAGCACAACGGCGUGGCGACAAUCUUGAUGUUCAACUGUCGCAGGGCUUCGCCUAAGCACCACUACAAUAUUAUCGAGGACUAUGGUGGAAGGGGGCACCGCACACGGUUAAGAGAACGAUCUUAAAGAUCAACUUGUGUAUCUAUGGGGUACCCCCUGCCCCCGUAUAUAAAGGAGUGGAGGAGGGAAGGGCCGGCCCUCUCUAUGGCGCGCCCUAGGGGAGUCAUACUCCCACCGGGAGUAGGAUUCCCCUUUUCCUAGUCCAACUAGGAGUCCUUCCAUGUAGUAGGAGUAGGAGACAAAGAAGGGGAAGAGGGAAGAGAAAGAAGGAGGGGGCGCAGCCCCUCCCCCUAGUCCAAUUCGGACUAGGCCUUGGGGGGGUGCGCGGCCUGCCUCUCCCUCUCCCCUAAAGCCCAAUAAGGCCCAUAUACUUCUUCCCCCGUAUUCCCGUAACUCCAUGGUACUCCGAAAAAUACCCGAACCACUCAAAACCUUUCCGAUGUCCGAAUAUAGUCGUCCAAUAUAUCGAUCUCUACGUCUCGACCAUUUCGAGACUCCUCGUCAUGUCCCCGAUCUCAUCCGAGACUCCGAACUCCUUCGGUACAUCAAAACUCAUAAACUCUUAAUAUAACUGUCAUCGAAACCUUAAGCGUGCGGACCCUACGGGUUCGAGAAUUAUGUAGACAUGACCGAGACACGUCUCCGGUCAAUAACCAAUAGCGGAACCUGGAUGCUCAUAUUGGCUCCCACAUAUUCUGCGAAGAUCUUUAUCGGUCAGACCGCAUAACAACAUACGUUGUUCCCUUUGUCAUCGGUAUGUUACUUUCCCGAGAUUCGAUCGUCGGUAUCUCAAUACCUAGUUCAGUCUCGUUACCGGCAAGUCUCUUUACUCGUUUCGUAAUACAUCAUCUCGCAACUAACUCAUUAGUUGCAAUGCUUGCAAGGCUUAUGUGAUGUGCAUUACCGAGAGGGCCCAGAAAUACCUCUCCGACAAUCGGAGUGACAAAUCCUAAUCUCGAAAUACGCCAAUCCAACAUGUACCUUUGGAGAUACCUGUAGAGCUCCUUUAUAAUCACCCAGUUAUGUUGUGACGUUUGGUAGCACACAAAGUGUUCCUCCGGCAAACGGGAGUUGCAUAAUCUCAUAGUCAUAGGAACAUGUAUAAGUCAUGAAGAAAGCAAUAAUAACAUACUAAAUGAUCGGGUGCUAAGCUAAUUGAAUGGGUCAUGUCAAUCACAUCAUUCUUCUAAUGAUGUGAUCCCGUUAAUCAAAUAACAACUCUUUUGUUCAUGGUUAGGAAACAUAACCAUCUUCGAUUAACAAGCUAGUCAAGUAGAGGCAUACUAGUGACACUCUGUUUGUCUAUGUAUUCACACAUGUAUUAUGUUUCCGGUUAAUACAAUUCUAGCAUGAAUAAUAAACAUUUAUCAUGAUAUAAGGAAAUAAAUAAUAACUUUAUUAUUGCCUCUAGGGCAUAUUUCCUUCAGUGAGUGGGAGCACUAUAGAAUUUUUGAUGAGUAUAUGUUGUUAACAUAUUGUUGACCAGAAAUGAUGUAGAAUUUCUGGAAAGCAUGCAGGGUUAUUUGAAAAGUGUUUUUCAAUGAAAAAUCUGGAUUAAGCUACUUGAACAUUGAGCAUCAAGAUCUAUAAGGAUAGAUCAAAACGCUUUAUAGUACUUUCGAAUGUAUACAUACCGUGACAAGAUUUUGAAGGAGUUCAAAAUAGAUCAGCAAAGAAGGAGUUCUUAGCUGUGUUACAAGGUGUGAAUAUUGAGUAAGACUCAAGACCUGACCACGGCAUAAGAGAGAGAAAGGACGAAGGCCAUCCCCUAUGCUUUAGACAUAGGCUCUACAGUAUGCUAUGCUGUGUACCGCACCUGAAGUGUGCCUUGCCAUGAGUCAGUCAAGGGGUACAAGAGUGAUCCAGGAAUGGAUCACAUGACAGUGGUCAAACUUAUCCUUAUUAACUAGUGGACUAAGGAAUUUUCUCAUUAUGGAGGUGGUAAAAGAGUUUGUCAUAAAGGGUUACGCCGAUGCAAACUUUGACACUAACCCGGAUGACUCUGAGGAGUAAACCGGAUUCGUAUAGUAGAACAGUUAUUUGGAAUAGCUCCAAGUAGCGCGUGGUAGCUGCAUCUACAAGAUGACAUAGAGAUUUGUAAAGCACACACGGAUCUGAAAGGUUCAGAUCCGUUGACUAUAACAUCUCUCACAAGCAUAACAUGAUCAAACCUAGAACUCAUUGAGUGUUAAUCACAUGGUAAUGUGAACUAGAUUAUUGACUCUAGUAAACUCUUUGGGUGUUAGUCACAUGGGGAUGUGACCUUGAGUGUUAAUCACAUAGCAAUGUGACCUGGAUUAUUGACUCUAGUGCAAGUGGGAGACUGUUGGAAAUAUGCCCUAGAGGCAAUAAUAAAUUAGUUAUUAUUAUAUUUCCUUGUUCAUGAUAAUCGUUUAUUAUCCAUGCUAGAAUUUUAUUGAUAGGAAACUCAGAUACAUGUGUGGAUACAUAGACAAUACCAUGUCCCUAGUAAGCCUCUGGUUGACUAGCUCGUUGAUCAAUAGAUGGUUACGGUUUCCUGACCAUGGACAUUGGAUGUCGUUGAUAACGGGAUCACAUCAUUAGGAGAAUGAUGUGAUGGACAAGACCCAAUCCUAAAGCCUAGCACAAGAUCGUGUAGUUCAUUUGAUAAAGCUUUUCUAAUGUCAAGUAUCAUUUCCUUAGACUAUGAGAUUGUGCAACUCCCGGAUACCGUAGGAAUGCUUUGGGUGUACCAAACGUCACAACGUAACUGGGUGGCUAUAAAGGUGCACUGCGGGUAUCUCCGAAAGUGUCUGUUGGGUUGGCACGAAUCGAGACUCGGAUUUGUCACUCCGUGUAACGGAGAGGUAUCUCUGGGCCCACUCGGUAGGACAUCAUCAUAAUGUGCACAAUGUGACCAAGGAGUUGAUCACGGGAUGAUGUGUUAACGGAAUGAGUAAAGAGACUUGCCGGUAACGAGAUUGAACUAGGUAUCGGGAUACCGACGAUCGAAUCUCGGGCAAGUAUCGUACCGAUGGACAAAGGGAACUGAAUACGGGAUUGAUUGAAUCCUCGACAUCGUGGUUCAUCCGAUGAGAUCAUCGUGGAGCAUGUGGGAGCCAACAUGGGUAUCCAGAUCCCGCUGUUGGUUAUUGACCGGAGAGUUGUCUCGGUCAUGUCUACAUGUCUCCCGAACCCGUAGGGUCUACACACUUAAGGUUCGGUGACGCUAGGGUUGUAGAGAUAUUAGUAUGCGGUAACCCGAAAGUUGUUCGGAGUCCCGGAUGAGAUCCCGGACGUCACGAGGAGUUCCGGAAUGGUCCGGAGGUGAGAUUUAUAUAUAGGAAGUCCAGUUUCGGCCAUCGGAAAAGUUUCGGGGGUAAUCGGUAUUGUACCGGGACCACCGGAAGGGUCCCGGGGGUCCACCGGGUGGGGCUACCUAUCCCGGAGGGUCCCAUGGGUUGAAGUGGGAGGGGAACCAGCCCCUGGUGGGCUGGUGCGCCCCCCAUGGGCCUCCCCCUGCGCCUAGGGUUGGAAACCAUAGGGGUGGGGGGGCGCCCCACCUGACUUGGGGGGCAAGUCCCCCCUUGGCCGCCGCCCCCCAUGGAGAUUGGAUCUCCUAGGGCCGGCGCCCCCCUAGGGGUCCUAUAUAUAGUGGGGGGGGGGGGAGGGCAGCCGCACCCGAGUCCCUGACGCCUCCCUCUCCCUCCGUGACACCUCUCCCUAUAGUUGGUGCUUGGCGAAACCCUGCCGAGAUCCCGCUGCUUCCACCACCACGCCGUCGUGCUGCUGGAUCUCCAUCAACCUCUCCUCUCCCCUUGCUGGAUCAAGGAGGAGACGUCUCCGCUCCGUACGUGUGUUGAACGCGGAGGUGCCGUCCGUUCGGCGCUAGGAUCAUCGGUGAUUUGGAUCACGACGAGUACGACUCCAUCAAUCCCGUUCUCUUGAACGCUUCCGCUAGCGAUCUUCAAGGGUAUGAAGAUGCACUCCCUCUCUCUCGUUGCUAGAUGACUUCAUAGAUUGAUCUUGGUGAUGCAUAGAAAAUUUUAAAUUUCUGCUACGAUCCCCAACAACUAGAUCACAUGUUUUUUUAAGGAAAAUGCUGCUAUUUGUUGCUUAGUUCACGACGAUCUCCGCCGCAAGAAUGUCAUAAAUACAUUCUGGUGAAAAAUGAAGCCAAGUUUUACACAACUUAUUUAAGUAACCUUCCCUGGGCAGCACGAUUGGCCAUCUUCCUAGCCCAACACACAUGUCGCUCCGCCAUUGUGGCAAGUAGCUCCUUAAUCUCCUCGCUGAGGGGGCCAAACCUGGACCGAUCAAUGUCCUAUUGCAUCAAUGCUUGGGCAACUCCUUUGUUAUCUGUCUCCAAGAUAAUCUUCUCAACGCCAACUUCGCGAGCUAAUUGGAUCCUUUUUUACAAGUCAACAACUCCGCAUGAAUUGGAUCGACGGCCACCGGGAUAAAAUGACAUGCUCCUCCCACGAACACGCCAUGGGGGUCGCGGACGACCGCCCCUCCGCCACUAGAUCACAUGUUAAUAAUAACUUUGUGCAUUCGGUUAUAUGGUUUUUUAUUUGCACGGUCUUGAUACAUGGAUAAAUACUAUAUAUACCAAAUUAUUUAGUAUAGUUUUGGUAUAUGUCAUAAUAACCAAAUUUGACGCGAAUAUGAAAAUAACAUAAUAAUGUUUUAUAAAUUUAUCACUCAAAACACAUAUUUUUUUAUACAAAUAGUAUACAACUUUAUAUAAGUAUGCAUACUAUGCAAUGCAGUUACUGCGCUUCUCACUUUCGGGAAGGACAGUUGUGCUUCACGCGAAGCACUACUAUGUUUUUCACAUGGUGUGUUUCACGUGAGGAAAAAAGUAACAAAAAAGUAAAAUAAGUAAUUCAUGAAAGCCUAAAAAAAUUCCUCGCAAAAAAAAUGAAAGCCUAAAAAAACAACCAAAAUAUGGUGACAUUUCGAUACACCACAUCCGCCCCCCGAAAACCCAAAAACGCGCGCAAAAAAUUAGUGAUCCCGUUUGUGUGCCCAGCGCGUGAUUUAUGACGGCGGUGGAUACACCACAUGGCAUGUCUCCCCCUGUACGCCGCUGGUAUCCACUCUCCGGGGGUACCAGCUGACUGGUCAAUCCCUAUGUAUCGCUUAGUUUUUUUUUUUGAGAAAACCCUAUGUAUCGCUUAGUGCAACCCCUAUGAUAGUGCUCACCCACUAUGACCAUUCCUGGUGGGCCGGCCCAUUGGCCAGUAGUGAAUCAAUCGAGAGUGGUUUUGAAUUUUGGAGCGAAUUUGGGAAGCGAUCGCGGAUUGGGGAUCCGGUUUUAGAACCUUCCAGGAUCGACCGGGGGGUUCGAGAUUUGUUUUAGGAACCCUCGCGGUGGUUUUGGGAAGGUUUCAGCCACUUUUUUCUUUUUUUCCUGUACUGUAUUCCUAAUUUUAUUUCAACUUUCUAUUGGUUUUUUUUCCAUUCUUUCUCUUUUUUUCUAAAACUUUUUCAAAUUUGUGAACAAUUUUCAACUCAUGAACAUUUUUGCAGUUUGUGGACAACUUUUCCGUUCAUGAACAUUUUUUGAAUUCACAAAUAAUUUUUGAAUACGUGAACAUUUUUGAAUACAUGAAUAUUUUUUGAAUUCACAUAUAUUUUUGAACUCAUGAACUUUUUUUGAAUUCUCAAAUAUUGUUUUUCCAAGUUCACAAACAUUUUUCAAUUGGUGAAUAUAUUUUUAGGGUUUUAUCAGUUUUGCCAUCGGUUGUAUAACACUACUCAGUUCUGCCGCUAAAACUUUUCACUACUCAAAAAUGCCAUUGUUCCGUUAGACACAUACUCAAAAAUACCAUUUUUCAUCGUUACCGUCAAGUCAAUGCAAGUAUACCCCUGCUCUCAUUUUGCAUACCCUCUCCAUUAGUGUGGGCCACACUUGUCCCAUUUGUCAGGGAGUAAGGAUAAAGAAUUUCGAAGAAAAAAGAGGCCUGUCAGGGUUCGAACCAAUGACUUCACCGUGGAUGGAGGCGCAUGAAAACGAUUCCGACCAAUAUACACACUCGUUUGAAAUUAGAAAUAUUCUAAUACUAUAAUAUAUCUAGACCUAACUAAACAGACCCGACCUUGCUGAACCUAAUCCUUUGGUCGAUGAGUGGGAACCACAAAUCUUUAGCCGCCGUCGCCUGCCUAACUCCUCACCUGGCACCGCCGGUCGCCGAGCUGGCCACCUAGCUCCGGCACGCCUCCACUCGCCGCUGCUGCGGUGCCUCCUGCCGGGUGCCGCCACCCGCCGCAGCUUCGGCUCUGCCUUCGCCCAGCAUCGGCACUUGACACAGGCAGUUCCGACGCUUCUCCCGCUUGACUCCGGAGCUCCGGCGCUUCUCUUGCCUGAUUUUGCAGCUCCUUCCAAGUCUUGAAGUGCAACAGUUCCACGGGAAUGGUGACGGAUGAUACGUCUCCAACGUAUCUAUAAUUUUUGAUUGCUCCAUGCUAUAUUAUCUACUGUUUUUGACUAUAUUGGACUUUUAUAUUAUUUUUGGAACUAACCUAUUAACCGGAGGCCCAGCCCAGAAUUGCUGUUUUUUACCUAUUUCAGUGUUUCGGAUAAACAGAAUAUCAAACGGAGUCCAAACGGAAUAAAAUCUUCGGAAACGUGAUUUUCUCACCAAACGUGAUCCAGGAGACUUGAACCCUACUGCAAGGGAUCAAAGAGGUGGUCAAGAGGGUGGGGGGCGCGCCCCCCUGCCUCGUGGGCCCCUCGGUGCUCCAGCGAUGUACUCCUUCCUCCUAUAUAUACACACGUACCCCCAAACGAUCAGAACAGGAGCCAAAACCCUAAUUCCACCGCCGCAACUUUCUGUAUCCACGAGAUCCCAUCUUGAGCCUGUUCCGGAGCUCCGCCGGAAGAGGGUCGUCAUCACGGAGGGCUUCUACAUCAUCCUAGCCGCUCCGAUGAAGUGUGAGUAGUUUACCUCAGACCUUCGGGUCCAUAGUUAGUAGCUAGAUGGCUUCUUCUCUCUCUUUGAAUCUCAAUACAAAGUUCUCCCCCUCUCUUGUGGAGAUCUAUUCGAUGUAAUCUUCUUUUUGCGAUGUGUUUGUUGAGACCAAUGAAUUGUGGGUUUAUGAUCAAGUCUAUCUAUGAAUAAUAUUUGAAUCUUUUCUGAAUUCUUUUAUGCAUGAUUGGUUAUCUUUGCAAGUCUCGUCGAAUUAUCCGUUUGGUUUGGCCAACUAGAUUGGUAGUUCUUGCCAUGGGAGAAGUGCUUAGCUUUGGGUUCGAUCUUGCGGUGUCCUUACCCAUUGACAGAAGGGGCAGCAAGACACGUAUUGUAUCGUUGCCAUCGAGGAUAACAAGAUGGGGUUUAUCUCAUAUUGCAUGAAUUUAUCUCUCUACAUCAUGUCAUCUUGCUUAAGGCGUUACUCUAUUUUUAACUUAAUACUCUAGAUGCAUGCUAGAUAGCGGUCGAUGAGUGGAGUAAUAGUAGUAGAUGCAGAAUUAUUUUGAUCUACUUGUCACAGACGUGAUGCCUAUAUACAUGAUCAUGCCUAGAUAUUCUCAUAAUUAUGCACAAUUCUAUCAAUUGCUCAACAGUAAUUUGUUCACCCACUGUAGAAUACGUAUGCUCUUGAGAGAAGCCACUAGUGAAACCUAUGCCCUCCGGGUCUAUUCUCAUCAUAUCAAUCUCCAUCACUUUUAUAUUUUUUUGCUAUUUAGUUUGCUUUUACUUUUUACUUUGCAUCUUUAUAUCAAAAAUACCAAAAAUGUUCUAUCUAUCAGAUCUCACUCUCGUAAGUGACCCUGAAGGGCUUGACAACCCCUAAUCGCGUUGGUUGCGAGUAGCUAUCGCUUUGUGCAGGUACGAGGGACUUGAGCGUGGGCUCCUACUAGAUUGAUACCUUGGUUCUCAAAAAUUGAGGGAAAUACUUAUGCUACUCUGCUGCAUCAUCCCUUCCUCUUCGGGGAAAACCAACACAAGCUCAAGACGUAGCAAGAAGGAUUUCUGGCGUCGUUGCCAGGGAGUCUACGCAAAAAGUCAAUAUACCAAGUACCCAUCACAAUCCCUAUCUCUCGCAUUACAUUAGUUGCCAUUUGCCUCUCGUUUUCCUCUCUCCCCAAUUCACCCUUGCCGUUUUAUUCGCCCUCUCUCUCUCUAUCCUCCCUCUUUAUUUGCCUCUUUUAUUUGCUUGCUUUUUGUUUACUCGUAUGGUUGGAAUAGUUGUUUAUUUAUUACUAAACAGAGAACUUAAGAUCUAUGGAUCCUCUCCGCUUGCCAAUCUUUUUAAGGGAUCCAAUUAUGAUGAACCAAUUCCUAGUGAUUUGGAUGCACUAGAUUAUCUUUUAUAAGCUUUUGCGUGAAAUCCGUAAAUCUGAAAAUUGUGAUGAAGUGCUUUAUGAAGUGACUCAUGAUAGAUCUUUGAAUAAAAAGCAUGAUUGCAAUGAUUUUAUUAUAAAUUCUCUUAAUGUCAAUUGUGCUAAUAAGAUGCAAAACCCUAAGCUUGGGGAUGCUAGUUUUGCUAUGUCUACUACUUGUUGCAAUGAUUAUGAUUGGGGUGAUUCUUCUUAUGAUCUUGAAAAUUUAUUUAAACCCCAUGAUAAAUAUGAGAUUGAUAAUAGUGUUUGCAAAAUUAUUGAAAGUGGGUUUGGAGAAGUCAUGACUUUAGUUAAUGUUAAUCCCAUUAUUUUGGAAGAGUGUCAACUUUGCAUGCAUGUGGAUCAUGUUGAAAAUAUUUUAUGUGAUAGCUAUUUUGUUGAAUUUGCUUAUGAUCCUACAUGUAAUUACUAUGAGAGAGGAAAAUAUGGUUGUAGAAAUCUUCAUGUUACUAAAUUACCUCUCGUUAUGUUGAGAUUGCUAUUGUUUCUUUCCGCUUCCUUGCAUCUGCUAGUUUUUGCUAGCCUUGACAAUUUAUUUGCCUAUAAGAUGCCUAUGCAUAGGAAUUAUGUUAGACUUAGAUGUGUUUGUCACAUGUUUUAUGAUGCCCUCUUUGUGCUUCAAUUCUUGUCUUUCAUGUGAGAAGCAUUAAAAUUAUCAAUGCCUAGCUAAGUAGGCUUUAAAGAAAAGCGCUUAUUGAGAGACAACCCAAUAUUUUUCCUUGAUGUUAUUUAAUAAAUAAAUUAUUUAGCCUCUGUUUUGGUUGUCUUUUUUGUGUUUAAUUAGUGUUUAUGCCAAGUAGAACCAUUGGGAAGACUUGGGGAAAGUCUUGUUGAACUUGCUGUAAAAAACAGAAACUUUAGCGCUCACGAGAACUGCUGUCAUUUUUAUUUGAAGAGUACUAUUUAGUUAAUUCUUUUUGCAUAUGAUUAAUAUGAUAUGUGUUUUGUUUGGAGCGUCUUGUAUUAUUUGUGUCUUUGUUUGUUAGUAUGCCACAAUCAUCCUUACUGUACACACCUUUUGAGAGAGCCAUAUAUGAAUUAAAAUUUGAUAGAAUACUCUAUGUGCUUCACUUAUAUCUUUUGAGCUAGAUAAUUUUGCUCUAUGUGCUUCACUUAUAUCUUUUGAGCUAGAUAAUUUUGCUCAAUGUGUUUCACUUAUAUCUUUUGAGCUAGAUAAUUUUGCUCUAUGUGCUUCACUUAUAUCUUUUGAGCUAGAUAAUUUUACUUUAUGUGCUCCACUUAUAUCUUUUGAGCGUUAUAAUUUUGCUCUAUGUGCUUCACUUAGAUCUUUUAGAGCACGAUGGUGGAUUCGUUUUAAAGAAACUAUUGAUCUCUCAUGCUUCACUUAAAUUAAUUUGAGAGUCUCUUAAUAGCAUGGUAAUUUGCCUAAUAAUAAUAUGCUUGGUAUUCAAGAUUUGUGAAACUUUCUUUUAAGUGUGUUGAAUACUAAGAAAAGAUUGAAGCAUGAUAAUUGUUUUGAGAUAUGGAGGUGAUAAUAUUAAAGUCAUGCUAGUUGAGUAGUUGUGAAUUUAAAGAAUACUUGUGUUGAAGUUUGUGAUUCCCGUAGCAUGCACGUAUGGUGAGCCGUUAUGUGAUGAAGUCGGAGCAUGAUUUAUUUAUUGAUUGUCUUCCUUAUAAGUGGCGGUCGGGGACGAGCGAUGGUCUUUUCCUACCAAUCUAUCCCCCUAGGAGCAUGCGCGUAAUACUUUACUUUGAUAAUUUCUAAAUUUUUGCAAUAAGUAUAUGAGUUCUUUAUGACUAAUGUUGAGUCCAUGGAUUAUACACACUCUCACCCUUCCACCCUUGCUAGCCUCUCUAAUACCGCGCAACUUUCGUCGGUAUCAUACACCUACCAUAUACCUUCCUCAAAACAGCCAGCAUACCUACCUAUUAUGGCAUUUCCAUAGCCAUUCCGAGAAAUAUUGCCAUGCAACUUUCCACCAUCUAGUUCAUCAUGACACAUCCAUCAUUGUCAUAUUGCUUAGCAUGAUCAUGUAGUUGACAUAGUAUUUGUGGCAAAGCCACCGUUCAUAAUUCUUUCAUACUUGUCACUCUUGAUUCAUUGCAUAUCCCGGUACACCGCCGGAGGCAUUCGUAUAGAGUCAUACUUUGUUUUAGUAUCGAGUUGUAAUCAUUGAGUUGUAAAUAAAUAGAUGUGUGAUGAUCAUCAUUCAAUAGAGCAUUGUCUCAAAAAAAAGAGAAAGGCCAAAGAAAGAAAGAAGGCCCCAAAAAAUAAAAAAGGGGCAAUGCUACUACCAUUUUGUCCACACUUGUGCUUCAAAGUAGCACCAUGAUAUAGCAAGUCUCAUAUAUUGUGCUUCAAAGUAGCACCAUGUUCUUUAUAUAGAGAGUCUCAUAUGUUGUCACUUUCAUAUACUAGUGAGAAUUUUACGUUAUAGAAGUUGGCUUGUAUAUUUCAAUGAUGGGCUUCCUCAAAUUGCCCUAGGUCUUCAUGAGCAAGCAAGUUGGAUGCACACCCACUAGUUUCUUUUGUUGAGCUUUCAUACAUUUAUAGCUCUAGUGCAUCCGUUGCAUGACAAUCCCUACUCACUCACAUUGACAUCUAUUGAUGGGCAUCUCCAUAACCCGUUGAUACGCCUAGUUGAUGUGAGACUAUCUUCUCCUUUUUGUCUUCUCCACAGCCACCAUUCUAUUCCACAUAUAGUGUUAUAUCCAUGGCUCACGCUCAUGUAUUGCGUGAAGAUUGAAAAAGUUUUGAAAAAGUUAGAGUAUGAAACAAUUGCUUGGCUUGUCAUCGGGGUUGUGCAUGAUUUAAAUACUUUGUGUGGGAAAGAUGGAGCAUAGCCAGGCUAUAUGAUUUUGUAGGGAUAACUUUCUUUGGCCAUGUUAUUUUGAGAAGACAUAAUUGCUUUGUUAGUAUGCUUGAAGUAUUAUUAUUUUCUAUAUCAAUAUAAAAUUUUGUCUUGAAUCUUUCUAAUCUGAAUAUUCAUACCACAAUUAAGAAGAUUUGCAUUGCAAUUAUGCCAAGUAGCACUCCGCAUCAAAAAUUCUCUUCUUAUCAUUUACCUACUCGAGGAUGAGCAGGAAUUAAGCUUGGGGAUGCCUGAUACAUCUCCAAUAUAUCCAUAAUUUUUGAUUGCUCCAUGCUAUAUUAUCUACUAUUUUGGACUAUAUCUGGCUUUAUUUUCACUUUUAUAUUAUUUUUGGGACUAACCUAUUAACCGAAGGCCCAGCCUAGAAUUGCUGUUUUUUUGCCUAUUUCAGUGUUUCAGAUAAACAGAAUAUCAAACGGAGUCCAAACGGAAUAAAAUCUUUAGAAACGUGAUUUUCUCACUGAACAUGAUCCAGGAGACUUGGACCCUACUGCAAGGGAUCAAAGAGGUGGUCAUGUGGGGGGCGCGCCCCCCUAGGGUGCGCGCUCCUGCCUCGUGGGCCCCUCGGUGCUCCAUCGACGUACUCCUUCCUCCUAUAUAUACACAUUUGUCACAGACGUGAUGCCUAUAUACAUGAUCAUGCCUAGAUAUUCUCAUAAUUAUGCACAAUUCUAUCAAUUGCUCAACAGUAAUUUGUUCACCCACUGUAGAAUACUUAUACUCUUGAGAGAAGCCACUAGUGAAACCUAUGGCCCCCGGGUCUAUUCUCAUCAUAUCAAUCUCCAUCACUUUUAGAUUAUUUUGCUAUUUACUUUGCUUUUACUUUUUACUUUGCAUUUUAUAUCAAAAAUACCAAAAAUAUUCUAUCUAUCAGAUCUCACUCUCGUAAGUGACCGUGAAGGGCUUGACAACCCCUAAUCGCGUUGGUUGCGAGUAGCUAUCGCUUUGUGCAAGUACGAGGGACUUGAGCAUGGGCUCCUACUGGAUUGAUACCUUGGUUCUCAAAAACUGAGGGAAAUACUUACGCUACUCUGCUGCAUCAUCCCUUUCUCUUCGGGGAAAACCAACGCAAGCUCAAGACGUAGCAACGGACAACAGUCCCGAAUCGGAGGGUUGCGGCGGCCACCGGACACCCCAACAAGUUGUUGUGUUGGCAUAUUAUUCCAUGUAGACAAUACGAAGGAUAGCUCCUCAUACUAGAGGCUUCCGUAGCUUAGUUGGUUAACGCGCGCGACGUGCAGGUCCUGGUCAUGGGUUCGAAACCCUGCAAUGCCAACUUUUUAUUUUUGUUUUCAUGCGCCCCUUACAGAUGGGACCACAAGCCAAGAGAGAGGCGGUUUGACAAACGGGAUAGGGGUAUUUUCGUCCUACCUUCAGUCAACGUGCAUUGACCUGACGGUAACAGUGAAAAAUGGUCUUUCUGAGCACAUGUCUAACGAAACGGUGGCGUUUUUUAGUAGUGAAAAUUUUUAGUGGCAAAACUAAGUAGUUUUAUACAAUCAAGGUAAAACUGGCGAAUAGUUUUGUCAAACUGACAUAAUUUAUUUCGGAUUUAUGAAAUUUUUCCAAAAUUUAAAAUGAAGCGAUCAAAAUAAAGAAAAAACAUUGUGGAAAACAAAAAGAAAGGGCGACACUGCCGUCCUUGAACAAUGUUUUCCUUUUUCUCUAGUCUAUUUCCUUUAACUAUUUGCAUAAUCUAUAUACCUACUAAUAAAAGAUAUAGGUAUUUUUAGUCCGUCAUACUAUUUUAUAGAAAAUCCCCUAUUUUUUCUGACAUUAAACCCACAGUAGAUAUCUAAUAUUUUUUAAAAUACUCAUAUCUUCUAAAGCGUAACUCCAAAUUUAACAUGUUAUAUAUCAAUUUUGAUUAGAAAAAUAUGUACUCCCUCCUUCCAUCUAUAUAGGGCCUAAUACGUUUUUCAAGACCGCCUUUGACUAUUGAUAAAAUUAAUACCACAUGACAUACAUAAUGUGAAAAUUAUAUCAUUGAAAGCUCCUUUCACAUACGAAUUUGAUGAUGUGCUUUGUGUAAAUUGCAUGUCAUAUAUUAUUGCUCUAACAUUUGGUCAAAGUUAGCCUCGAAAAACACAUUAGGCCCUAUAUAGAUGGAAGGAGGGAGUAGAACCUAAAUAUGAUAUUAUUUUACCUGAUAACAAUUUAAAAAAUAUACUAACUAUGGUGCAAUCUUAAUCAGUAAUGCAUUAUCCGUCUUUCUUUCAAACCGAUAGUGAUUCGGAUUGAGGAUGAACACCUCAGCAAAUCUAUGGUGCAAUCUUAAUCAAUAAUACAUUAUCCAUCUUUCUUUCAUGCUGAUAGUGAUUCGGAUUGGGGAUGAACACCUCAGCAAAAUCAGGAUUGGACACAGAAUUGAAGAUAAAUUUGCUACAAACACCCAAUAAAUAAGGACAUGCAUGACAACAAAUAAAAGAAGGACCCAAUAAAAUGGGAUGUCUGCUAUGAAAAGAAAAGAAAAUGCAAAGGAGAUAUGAUAAAGAUGAGAUGUUGCGCUAUUCUCAUAUAUACUCCCUCCGUCCCAAAAUAGGUGUCUCAAGCUUAGUAUAAAUUUGUACUAGAGUUAGUACAAAGUUGAGACACUUAUUUGGGACGAAGGGAGUAUAAGAAAGAAGAAAGAGAGGACAUGCAUGGCAAAAAGUAAAAAGGAGGCAUGCAUGACAAAAAAUAAAAUAAAAGACAUGCUUAACAAGAUAUAAAUAAUGAUGAAACAGAGACCAAUACCUAUGACAUGUAUGGCAAGAAAUAGUGCUGAAAUAUGGACGCAAGUAUCUGUGUCUACAGGAGACCAUACAAAAAUGUUCUUUUAUAGACAAAAAUAUCUCUCUUUAUGCUUAAAACAUCUUAUAUCUUUUUAACAACUCUUCAUGUAUUUAACAAAUAUGCAUGUGAAAAAAAGUGUUCAAGAGUCACCCUAAGUUGGUGAUGCUUAAACUGAAAACCAACCUUGAUGCACACGUUUUCGUAGUGUGCUAAUGUGUCAUCGUCUGUUUUUGUCGUUUUUCUUUACCGUCCCGUAAUAAUACCCCAUUUCACACAUAACAUGAAUAAAUACAUGAUCACUUGCCCGUUUCUUUGUACGGAUUAAAUGUAUAUGAAAGCCGUGUUGAAAUAAAAUACUUGUGCAAUCUUGAACUGCGCUUUUGUAGGCUAAGACCAUCUUUGUUUGAGCCAUAGCUACAAAUUCUCAGACUAUAGAUAUUUUUUGUAAAUUGAAAGCGUGUGUUAUUUUUUCGGACUUUUUGCUAGUGUCUUUAAUGAAAAUAAAGGACUGCUGUGGCGCGCUUGGCCAGGCCCAUGUAGCGAGCGACCCAAUCCAGCGGGCGAGCAGCACGAGGGCCCGAGUUGAACGCAAAGGCUAUAUCUCGCUCAUAGCGAAGCUUCCUUCGGUCUCGCUUAGAUUAGUCUGUUGCAACAUUGUCAAAGAAAAAAAAACCGGUUUUUCAUUGUUUAUUUCCGUUUUUUUAUUUUACAUUCGUUUUUCUUAGUUUCUUUCUCUAUUUUAUUGUUUUAUUAUUUUCUUUGUUUUUUCUUAUUUUUUCUUUCUUUUUUUGCUUCACACUAGUUAAUUUUCUUUCUUUCCCUUUUCCUUUAUUUUUUCUUCGGUUUUAUUUUUCUUCUUCUUGUUUUUCUUUGUUUUUUUGUGUUUUCUAUUACGUUUUAUUUUUCAUGCAAAUUUUGGUAUAUAUCUAAUAUAUUUUUAAAGUACACUUUUAAUAUUUUACAAAUACAAGUUUAACAUUUAUUGAAUAAACGACCAACAUUUUUUCUACGUACAUUUAACAUUUUCAUAUAUCAUAAUAACAUUUUUCAAAUAUAUGGUGACAAUUCCUUCUAUACACAUUAUAAUCUUUAUUUAAUAUUGAUUAACUUUUUAUGAAAUAAAAUUUUAAUAUUUUUCCAAUACAUGGUCAACAUUUUUUGUAUUCACAUUUAACAUUUUUUUCACAUGCUUGAUUAACAUUUUCCGAAUACAACUUCAUAAUUUUUUAAAUACAUGGGCAACAUUCUUUCUAUACACAUUUUUUUUCAAAUGAUUGAUUAAAACUUUCCAAAUACAAGUUUAACAUUUUGUCAAUACAUGGUCAACAUUUUUUAUAUAGACAUUUUACAUUUGCUUGAUUAACAUUUUUCAACUACAUAUUUAUUUUUUUAAAUACAUGGUCAAUAUUUUUGUUAUACACAUUCAACUUUUUCAAAAGCCCGUUCAACAUUUUUUUCGAAUGCUUGGAUUAGAAUUUUAUUAAUACACGUUCAUUUAUUUCACACCUAAUAUUUUUUGAUAAAUUUAUCGUAUACAUGAGAAACAUGUUCUCUAUGUACAUUAAACAUUUUUCAAAUACUUAGUUAACAUUUUAUUUGAAGUGUUUUGUGUAAAGUGUUUUUUAAAUAUAUUUAUUUAAAUGUUUUGGAAGUAUAAAGGAAAGAAAAAAUGAAACAAAAUAAAAUGAAACAAAACAUUAAAAAAGAAAAAAAAC